rnacentral:sRNA from 1 species
GUUUUUUUCUUCUUCUUCUUA